AUAUGAUGAUGCUGCUGAUGCUGGUGGUGACGCCGAUGGUGCGAGCUGGAAAUGGGGUGCUACGUCAUCGUUGUCAUCAUCAUCAUCAUCAUCUGAG
rnacentral:pre_miRNA from 12 species